GACGAACGCUGGCGGCGUGGAUAAGACAUGCAAGUCGAACGGGAUUUGUUCUGUAGUAAUACAGCGCAAGUCUAGUGGCGAACGGGUGCGUAACACGUGGGCAAUCUGCCGGGAAGAGGGGGAUAGCUCGCCGAAAGGCGAAUUAAUACCGCAUGUGGUUAGGAAGGACAUCCUUCUACUACUAAAGUCGGGGUAACCUGACGCUUCCUGAUGAGCCCGCGGCCUAUCAGCUGUUGGUGAGGUAACGGCUCACCAAGGCUAUGACGGGUAGCUGGUCUGAGAGGAUGAUCAGCCACACUGGGACUGCGACACGGCCCAGACUCCUACGGGAGGCAGCAGUGGGGAAUAUUGGGCAAUGGGCGGAAGCCUGACCCAGCCACGCCGCGUGAGUGAUGAAGGCCU
rnacentral:rRNA from 1 species